rnacentral:rRNA from 1 species
AGGACGAACGCUGGCGGCGUGCUUAACACAUGCAAGUCGAACGAUUCCGCGCUUUCGGGUGUGGUUUAGUGGCGAACGGGUGAGUAACACGUGGGCAACCUGCCCUCCACUCUGGGAUAACUCCGGGAAACCGGGGCUAAUACUGGAUACGACUAUGGUCCGCAUGGAUCGUGGUGGAAAGUUUUUCGGUGGAGGAUGGGCCCGCGGCCUAUCAGCUUGUUGGUGGGGUGAUGGCCUACAAGGCUUUGACGGGUA